rnacentral:hammerhead_ribozyme from 1 species
AUCCAAUUGACGAGUCUUAAAUAGGACGAAAUGCACAUCCUGGAU